AACGAACGCUGGCGGCAGGCUUAACACAUGCAAGUCGAGCGCCCCGCAAGGGGAGCGGCAGACGGGUGAGUAACGCGUGGGAAUCUACCCUGAUCUGCGGGAUAGCUCCGGGAAACUGGAAUUAAUACCGCAUGUGCCCUGAGGGGCAAAGAUUUAUCGGUUCAGGAUGAGCCCGCGUCCGAUUAGUUAGUUGGUGGGGUAAUGGCCUACCAAGGCGACGAUCGGUAGCUGGUCUAAGAGGAUGAUCAGCCACAUUGGGACUGAGACACGGCCCAAACGCCUACGGGAGGCAGCAGUGGGGAAUAUUGGACAAUGGGCGCAAGCCUGAUCGAGCCAUGCCGCGUGAGUGAUAAAGGCCCUAGGGUUGUAAAGCUCUUUCAGUGGGGACGAUAAUGACGGUACCCACAGAAGAAGCCCCGGCUAACUUCGUGCCAGCCGCCGCCGUAA
rnacentral:rRNA from 1 species